rnacentral:rRNA from 1 species
UACAGAGGUCCCGAGCGUUGUUCGGAUUCACUGGGCGUAAAGGGUGCGUAGGUGGCAUGUUAAGUUUGAUGUGAAAGCUCAGGGCUUAACCCUGAAAUGGCAUUGAAUACUAGCGUGCUGGAGGUUUGGAGGGGGGACUGGAAUUCUCGGUGUAGCAGUGAAAUGCGUAGAUAUCAAGUGGAACACCAGUGGCGAAGGCGAGUCUCUGGACAUUUCCUGACGCUGAGGCACGAAAGCCAGGGGAGCAAACGGG